rnacentral:rRNA from 1 species
GACGAACGCUGGCGGCAUGCCUAACACAUGCAAGUCGAGCGAGUAGAUCCCUUCGGGGUGAAGCUAGCGGCGGACGGGUGAGUAACACGUGGGCAACCUGCCUCAUAGAGGGGAAUAGCCUUCCGAAAGGAAGAUUAAUACCGCAUAAGAUUGUAGUACCGCAUGGUAUAGCAAUUAAAGGAGCAAUCCGCUAUGAGGUGGGCCCGCGGCGCAUUAGCUAGUUGGUGAGGUAACGGCUCACCAAGGCGACGAUGCGUAGCCGACCUGAGAGGGUGAUCGGCCACAUUGGGACUGAGACACGGCCCAGACUCCUACGGGAGGCAGCAGUGGGGAAUAUUGCACAAUGGGGGAAAUCCUGAUGCAGCAAUGCCGCGUGAGUGAUGACGGCCUUCGGGUUGUAAAGCCCUGUCUUCGGGGACGAUAAUGAUGGUACCCGAGGAGGAAGCCACGGCUAACUACGUGCCAGCCGCCGCAGUAA